UACGGAGGAUGCAAGCGUUAUCCGGAAUUAUUGGGCGUAAAGCGUUCGUAGGCGGCUUUGUAAGUCAGAGGUGAAAGCCCACGACUCAAUCGCGGAACUGCCUUUGAGACUGCUUCGCUUGAAGAUGGGAGAGGUUAGUGGAAUUCCGAGUGUAGAGGUGAAAUUCGUAGACAUUCGGAAGAACACCAGUGGCGAAGGCGGCUAACUGGACCAUUAUUGACGCUGAGGAACGAAAGCGUGGGGAGCAAACAGG
rnacentral:rRNA from 1 species